CUGUGGGUCCCGAGCAGAAGUGCUGUUGGUCGGGCAUGCCAUGGGUCAUGGAUCUGAUUUCAAAUCCGGUUUGCCCAGCAGCUGCUUGGUGUAUAGGAUGGCAUGCUUUAGUGGGAGGAGCGCGGGGUUUAGGAUCACAGGGCCUGGGCUGGAAUCCAGCUCAGCUCUGGGGGCCUUGGUGCAUCUUGUGUAAACUGUGUACAAUAAUAUCCAGUUCACAGUGUUGCUCUGAGGUUACAUGGGAAGCCGUGCUGGUGUCAGCCUCAGGGUCCAUGAUUUCCUAGGCAGGCCAUUGCUGUCGUGAAAGAUGACUGAAUGGGUCACAGAACUGGAACCCUACCUCCUGACCCCUAACUCAGUGUUCUUUCCAUUAAGCCCCAUUGUCCUGUUUGCCCAGGUCCUUGCUUGGAUAGGAGGCACAGUGUGACAUGGUCAGCCCAGACUUGGAGCCAUGUUCAAGAUGCCCUUGAAUUUGUGUUCUUUGAGCCUCUAACUUGUGUUUACAUUGAAGAUUUUCUUGAAAGGAGUUAUAUCAUGGAAACACAAUUCCCAGGCUGAGGACUACGUUUUAGAAACCUUAUAGAUUAAUAGUGAGCCCUACCAGGGCACCUCAUGACCAUGCCUUUUUGGUUGUCCUACUAUGCCAUGAGGCAUAUCCUGACCGAUCUGUUUCAGUUUCCUCGUCUGCAAACAGGAGAAUAAAUAGUCUCUGCCUCCUUUCUAACAUGGAGAAGGAAACAGCAACCCACUCCAGUGUUCUUGCCUGGAGGAUUCCAUGGACAGGGGAGCUUGGUGGACUGUGGUCCAUGGGGUUGCAGAGAGUCAGACACAACUGAGCAACUGAGCACCUUUCUAACAAGGUUGUUGAGAGGCUCAGAUGACAUGAUGGAGAUUAACAUCUAUGGCAGAGACUGCCACCUGCCCACCACUAUCCAUUCCCAUCUGUUUCCUCGGCAAUAAUACCCCAAGUUCCAGCUAAACACACACUGCCCACUCAGAAACUAUAGUUUCCAGGCUUCACUUCAGCUAGGUGUGGCCAAGCAACCAACUGCUGGCCAAGGCAACUUAAAGAGAAUAGAUAUUUCAGAGCACACCUUUAAAAAGGAGCCAUUUGCCCUACUUUCUCCUCUCCUUUCUGCACAUUGGAAGUUAGAUGUGAUGGUGGUGGGUCUAGAGGAUUUACCCUAGAGGAUAAUGGAUGAACAAAACAGAAGAUGUACAAUCUCAUGAAGCAGAACUGCCUACCACCCCUGGCCCACCUACCAGCUCAUAUUUCCAUGGGAGAAAGAAAUAAUCCUCUUAUACUAUUAAACCCACUGUUAUUUUAUUCUCUGAUAUAGCAACUGAGCCAGUAUCUUAAUUAUUGCAACAUCCUUUGAAUACAUAAGCCGUUAUGCCAAGACUUGAUAUUGUUCUUAUUGUUAAUUACAUUUGCUAUCUUGAUUUGACAACCAGAGUUGUCACAAAGCAGUCACCUCCUUACUCACAGGACUACAAUUUCUGCCUCUGCAGUUCUCGAAGGCUGCACAAUGAGACAUUCAGAUGUCUUGCAUUCACAUGUGAGAGUUGCCCCUAGCACCCCUCUGGCGCAGUUCCUUCUGUUUCUAUGCCAAGGCCCCAGUAACUUUCUUUCUUAAAAAAUGAAUUUUCAGUUGAGCGCUUGCAAGGCUGGCAAAUACCAGGUCACAGCCCCUGUAAUAACUAGCCUCACAUGUGCUGUUUUUCCCAACCUGACUUGGAGCAAGCAGAAAUCAUCACUUUACUU
rnacentral:lncRNA from 1 species